rnacentral:rRNA from 1 species
AUUGAACGCUGGCGGCAUGCCUUACACAUGCAAGUCGAACGGCAGCACGGGUGCUUGCACCUGGUGGCGAGUGGCGAACGGGUGAGUAAUACAUCGGAACAUGUCCUGUAGUGGGGGAUAGCCCGGCGAAAGUCGGAUUAAUACCGCAUACGAUCUACGGAUGAAAGCGGGGGACCUUCGGGCCUCGCGCUAUAGGGUUGGCCGAUGGCUGAUUAGCUAGUUGGUGGGGUAAAGGCCUACCAAGGCGACGAUCAGUAGCUGGUCUGAGAGGACGACCAGCCACACUGGGACUGAGACACGGCCCAGACGCCUACGGGAGGCAGCAGCGGGGAAUUUUGGACAAUGGGCGAAAGCCUGAUCCAGCAAUGCCGCGUGUGUGAAGAAGGCCUUCGGGUUGUAAAGCACUUUUGUCCGGAAAGAAAUCCUUGGCCCUAAUACGGUCGGGGGAUGACGGUACCGGAAGAAUAAGCACCGGCUAACUACGUG